UGCCAGCAGCCGCGGUAAUACGGAGGGUGCGAGCGUUAAUCGGAAUCACUGGGCGUAAAGCGUACGUGGGUGGCAAAGUCAGUCAGAUGUGAAAGCCCCGGGCUCAACCUGGGAACUGCACCUGAUACUGCCAGUCUAGAAUACGGUAGAGGGUAGUGGAAUUUCCUGUGUAGCGGUGAAAUGCGUAGAUAUAGGAAGGAACACCAGUGGCGAAGGCGACUACCUGGACCGAUAUUGACACUGAGGUGCGAAAGCGUGGGGAGCAAACGGGAUUAGAUA
rnacentral:rRNA from 1 species